GAGGCUUUAGGCCGCGCGGACCAGAGCCCGAAGCCGGGUUAGGCGUUGAGAGGCGGCUGAGGAGAAGCGGAGAGGAAGUGAGGGGGCCCGGAUUCCCACCCUGGCCUCACGGACCUUGGGCUGACCGGUCUGUCUGGCUUCAGCAGAGGGGAAGGUGUACAGCUCAGAUGAGGAGAAGCUGGAGGCAUCAGCAGGAGACCCAGCAGGCAGCGAACAGGAGGAAGAGGGCUCAGGCGGUGACAGCGAGGAUGACGGUUUCCUGGACAGUUCUGCAGGGGGCCCAGGGGCUCUUCUGGGACCUAAACCGAAGCUAAAGGGAAGCCUGGGGACUGGAGCUGAGGAGGGGGCACCGGUGACAGCAGGGGUCACAGCUCCUGGGGGGAAAAGCCGACGGCGCCGCACAGCAUUUACCAGCGAGCAGCUUUUGGAAUUGGAGAAGGAAUUUCAUUGCAAGAAAUACCUGAGCUUGACAGAGCGCUCUCAGAUCGCCCACGCCCUCAAGCUCAGUGAGGUGCAGGUCAAGAUCUGGUUUCAGAAUCGACGGGCCAAGUGGAAGCGCAUCAAAGCUGGCAAUGUGAGCAGCCGUUCUGGGGAGCCCGUAAGAAACCCCAAGAUUGUUGUCCCCAUACCUGUGCAUGUCAACAGGUUUGCUGUGCGGAGCCAGCACCAACAAAUGGAGCAGGGGGCCCGGCCCUGAAUGGGCACCCAAGAACUUAGGAAGGCGAGGGAUCUGUACCUGAGCCUGCUCUGAGACUGUCAGGGUUCUGUGGACCAGAGGGGCUGCAACUGUGAUUCUGCCUUGAGAGGGGCUAGUUGGCAAUUAACCUAGCCCUGGGUGUGCUCUUCCCAGACUCCUCCCAGAACCUGAGAUGUGAGCACUUGGCCCUGAGCCUGUUCCAGAGAACUUCAGGACUAGGGGCUUCAAGGUUAAAGGGGCUGGGGUUCUAUUGCUGAGGAGCUGUUGGGACUGAGGUGGACUCCUGGGGAGGGGGUGGGUUCUAAGAUGCCUAAGGCCUGAAGGUUCUGUGGCAAAUGCCCUGGAACAGCUUCUGAUGGGUGGAGGGAACAGGCGAUACCUAGCCAAGUAGAUCGCAGCUCCUUAUUUAUUUGUGUAAAUGUGUAUAUAUGGAGCUAUCUGUCUCUGUACGUCUGUCUGCACCCCUGAGAGGGAUUGGGAAAGUUGUUUCCUCAAUCCUCAGCCAGAGUUCGUCUGUCCUACUGCUUUGGGGUAGGCCCCAUCUUGCCUCUCUUUACAAAGAAAUGAAAUGCAACCGUCACUGGCCUCUGUAGAAAUUCUUCAGCACUCCCCUAUCUCCCCCACCCCACGUUAACUACCUCUACCCCCAUGCUUUUCCACUAGGGCUGCUCACCGCUUGCUCUUGUUUCUAUACCUCGGGCUCCUAACGUGCCAUCUCUUCCUGCUUCCCAUUAAACAGGCAAGCUUCUCCAGCUCUGUUUUCUCCUCCUUGGAUGAGCUGGAAAACUUUGGGAGAGAUUCACUUCACUUCCUGUUGCAUUUAGGUGGGGUAUGUCCAAGCCAUCUAACUUAGGGGGAGGUCACUAAUGACUGGGGCACUCAUAUCACCCGUGAGCUCAUGAAUAAAUUGUUUUCUAUGCAGAAGACACGGCAGCUUAGUCUGUCUCUGCCACCCUUUGAUAUUCCAGAUGCAAGGGCCUAGAGGGAAGGACCCACUUCCAGUUUUCUGUUCUUACAGCAUUAACUAUCAUCUCUUCUUCUCCUCUUUGCACCAUUUUUGAAGCUUGGGAUACCCCUACCUCUUCUGUUACAGAAUAAGAUUGGUUGAGGGGGGCCAUGGCUAAGUG
rnacentral:lncRNA from 1 species